UGGGGAAUUUUGGACAAUGGGGGCAACCCUGAUCCAGCCAUGCCGCGUGAGUGAAGAAGGCCUUCGGGUUGUAAAGCUCUUUCGGCGGGGACGAAACGGUCCGUGACAACACCACGGACUAAUGACAGUACUCGCAGAAGAAGCACCGGCUAACUACGUGCCAGCAGCCGCGGUAAUACGUAGGGUGCAGGCGUUAAUCGGAAUUACUGGGCGUAAAGCGUGCGCAGGCGGCUCCUUAAGUCAGAUGUGAAAUCCCCGGGCUUAACCUGGGAACUGCGUUUGAAACUGAGGGGCUAGAGUGUGGAAGAGGGGGGUGGAAUUCCAGGUGUAGCAGUGAAAUGCGUAGAGAUCUGGAGGAACACCGAUGGCGAAGGCAGCCCCCUGGGCUAACACUGACGCUCAUGCACGAAAGCGUGGGGAGCAAACAGGAUUAGAUACCCAGGUAGUCCCUGAGCGGGC
rnacentral:rRNA from 1 species